GACUUGAGUGCAGAAGGGGAGAGUGGAAUUCCAUGUGUAGCGGUGAAAUGCGUAGAUAUAUGGAGGAACACCAGUGGCGAAAGCGGCUCUCUGGUCUGUCACUGACGCUGAGGCUCGAAAGCGUGGGUAGCGAACAGGAUUAGAUACCCUGGUAGUNCACGCCGUAAACGAUGAGUGCUAGGUGUUAGGCCCUUUCCGGGGCUUAGUGUCGGAGCUAACGCAAUAAGCACUCCGCCUGGGGAGUACGACCGCAAGGUUGAAACUCAAAGGAAUUGACGGGGGCCCGCACAAGCGGUGGAGCAUGUGGUUUAAUUCGAAGCAACGCGAAGAACCUUACCAGGUCUUGACAUCCCGAUGCUAUUCUUAGAGAUAGGAAGUUACUUCGGUACAUCGGAGACAGGUGGUGCAUGGUUGUCGUCAGCUCGUGUCGUGAGAUGUUGGGUUAAGUCCCGCAACGAGCGCAACCCUUAUUGUUAGUUGCCAUCAUUAAGUUGGGCACUCUAGCGAGACUGCCGGUAAUAAACCGGAGGAAGGUGGGGAUGACGUCAAAUCAUCAUGCCCCUUAUGACCUGGGCUACACACGUGCUACAAUGGUCGGUACAACGAGUUGCGAGCCGGUGACGGCAAGCUAAUCUCUGAAAGCCGAUCUCAGUUCGGAUUGGAGGCUGCAACUCGCCUCCAUGAAGUCGGAAUCGCUAGUAAUCGCGGAUCAGCACGCCGCGGUGAAUACGUUCCCGGGCCUUGUACACACCGCCCGUCACACCACGAGAGUUUGUAACACCCGAAGUCGGUGAGGUAACCUUUUAGGGGCCAG
rnacentral:rRNA from 1 species